UUAAUUGAAGAGUUUGAUCAUGGCUCAGAUUGAACGCUGGCGGCAGGCCUAACACAUGCAAGUCGAGCGGAAACGACAACAUUGACCCUUCGGGUGAUUUAUUGGGCGUCGAGCGGCGGACGGGUGAGUAAUGCCUGGGAAAUUGCCCUGAUGUGGGGGAUAACUAUUGGAAACGAUAGCUAAUACCGCAUAAYGUCUACGGACCAAAGAGGGGGACCUUCGGGCCUCUCGCUUCAGGAUAUGCCCAGGUGGGAUUAGCUAGUUGGUGAGGUAAUGGCUCACCAAGGCGAC
rnacentral:rRNA from 1 species